AGGAUAAGUCUUUUAUUGGCUGGUUGAUGUACAGUUGGUUCACCAAUUAAAUGAUAGCGACAGCACUAGCAUCUCAUUGGUUGGUGGGGUUAAAGUUCAUAUACCAAUGAAACGAUAGUAUCUAUACUAUUUAAGGACCUUUAUUAUGGCAGGUGGGUAUGUUUGUGACCUGGGGUGCUUCUCUCUCUCCCUGGCAUUUCCGUUUCCGUUCUGAUUCCUUCCUCAGUUUCAUUUAGAGCGCGUCUGGUGGCAUUGGCAGUGCGGCAACUCGCGGCGUAUUUCGGCUGCAGGUAUGUUUAGGUGCUCCGUUUGUUUACCGUCUCAUCUGUAAUUUUUAUUGUGUGUUGCUCUCAGUAAUUGCAGCGAGAGCAGUGAAUGCUGGCUGGUAGACUGAGCUAUGACACCGGUUGUGAG